rnacentral:rRNA from 1 species
UACGGGGGGGGCAAGCGUUGUUCGGAAUUACUGGGCGUAAAGGGCUCGUAGGCGGCCAACUAAGUCAGACGUGAAAUCCCUCGGCUUAACCGGGGAACUGUAUCUGAUACUGGAUGGCUUGAGUUCGGGAGAGGGAUGCGGAAUUCCAGGUGUAGCGGUGAAAUGCGUAGAUAUCUGGAGGAACACCGGUGGCGAAGGCGGCAUCCUGGACCGACACUGACGCUGAGGAGCGAAAGCCAGGGGAGCAAACGGG